ensembl:snRNA U6 U6 spliceosomal RNA
AUGCCCACAUGGGCAGCACAUAUACUGAAAAUGGAACAAUACGGAGAAGGUUAGCAUGGCCCCUGAGUAAGGAUGAGACACAAAUUUAUGACGUGUUCCAUAUUUCU